AAACUAUGCAUCAGGCAUUUGGGAAGAAAAUCCUUGAAACACUCCCAAACUUCAUAUAAGUUUUUAUACUCCAUUUGUUUGAAUGAUGUGAGAUCAUUUAUCAGCUU